CCUCCGGGGCCCGCCUUGUGUUUUUCUUGCUUCUGUCGGUGGCGGGUGGCGGCGCACAGGAUGGGAGGGGGCGAUAUCGGUCUGGAAUCUGCUUUAGGGCCGCUGUCCCGAGGCCCCGAAGGUCCCCCCGACGGGGACCGUGUCCGGGGUUAGCCUGUCUCCACCCUAGCGGGGUGUUUCCCGAGAACGGGCCAGUGCUUGGGCGCUUGGCUGUGGAGUGUAAACUGGUGCCCGUCUAGCAUUCCCCACAUUUAAUCUGAAGAUCGCUCUGUGCCCAGAAGUUCUACCCCCAGGCCAGCGGAUCUUGCUUGUCAAGAACACAAGGGACUCAGAGCAGUUACUCUGAGGACCCGAAUGGCACACACGUGGCGGCGAUGCACUCUGUCUCUCCUGUAAACUAGUGGAUCUCCUAAGCCGCUGGCGUUGCGGCUCGAUGCGCUGUUGAAGUCUUUCAAGUACAGUCCUGCGGGGUAACAAAAGAUGGAAGUGUGCCAGGAAUUGAGGAAACCAGCGCUAAGCCUGGAGUGUGGGCACUGCAGUUUCAGAGGCACCGAUUACGAGAAUGUGCAGAUCCACAUGGGCACCAUUCAUCCUGAGUUCUGUGAUGAUAUGGAUGCUGGAGGCCUGGGCAAACUCAUCUUUUACCAGAAGAGUGCAAAGCUCUUCCACUGCCAUAAGUGCUUCUUCACCAGCAAGCUGUACGCCAAUGUGUACUAUCACAUCACGGCCAGACACGCAGCCUCGGACAAGUGGAGUGAGCAGCCGAAAGAGCAGCUGAGCAAAGACACUGAGUCUGGGAAAAGCCCUUCCCCUCCUGAGCAUCAGAACACAGCCUUUGACCCAGCAGAGGCGAGGCCCACUCUAACCCUCCCCAUGGAAACACAGAAAAUGAGCCCAAGUUUGUCUCCAGAGUCACAAGCUUCUGUUCCUCCAGUUCUGGAGCCUCAGAGCGCUGGUCCUGUUAUUUCGCCCGAGCCACAAGCCCCUUGUCUUCCUGCUGAGGCCUCAAAAACUGCUCCUGUUCCUUCCCCUGAGUGUCUAGACCCACCCUGUGAGCUUCCUGAGCUGGAGAAGCCUGAGCGAGUCCCUUCUCCUGAGUCAGUCAAGUCUGCUCUCGUCAGCUCCAAACCCCCAAAGCACUCUUCCUUUGCAGACACAGGGGCUCCCCCUUCAGCUUUGUCUCCAGAGUCACCAGUACUGGCCACUUCCCCUGAACCUUGGGGACCAUCCCUCAGUGCAUCUCCAGAGUCUCGGAAGCCAGCGAGCACUGCCUCCCCUGAGCCAAGGAAGCCAUCCCCAGCAGAGUCUCCUGAACUUUGGAAGCCAUUCCCUGCCAUCACUUCAGAGCCUCGGAGACCAACCCCAGCAGUAUCGCCAGGUUCCUGGAAGCCAGGGCCGCCUGGUUCUCCUAGGCCUUGGAAAUCCAGUCCUUCAGCAACAUCAGGACCGUGGAAGUCAUCUAAACCUGUUCCACCUAUGUCUCCUGGACCUUGGAAACCAAUACCUUCUGUAUCACCUGGGCCUUGGAAGCCUGCUCCAUCUAUGUCCACUGCAUCCUGGAAGUCUUCAGUCUCAUCUGGUUCCUGGAAAACACCACCUACAUCUCCAGAGUCAUGGAAAUCUGGUCCACCCGAACUCAGAAAGACAGCCCUUCCCUUGUCUCCUGAGCACUGGAAGGCAGUGCCCCCUGUGUCACCUGAGCUCCGCAGACCAGGGCCACCACUUUCCCCAGAGAUCCGAAGCCCAGCAGGUUCUCCAGAGCUCAAGAAACCUUCAGGGUCACCAGACCUUUGGAAGGUUUCUCCUGACCAGCGGAAAACCUCUCCUGCUUCACUUGAUUUCCCUGAGCCCCAGAAAAGUUCUUGUGGUAGUCCUCCUGAUCUCUGGAAGUCUUCCUUCAUUAUGGAGUCUCAGAAACCUAACAUCUUCUCUGAGACGAGGAAACAAACUACUUCGGGCUCAUCUGAGUCCUCGAAGGUAGCGUCAGACAUAUGGAAGCCUGUUUUGUCUAUCGAUGCUGAGCCUAGGAAGUCCUCGCUGUUCCCUGAGCCCACCAAAGCAGUCCUUCCUGCUUCUCCCGAGCCACGGAAACGUGCACUUUUCCCAGAGUCCCGCAAGCAUGUACUUCUGCCUGAGCUUCCCAAGUCUGCUGUGUUCUCAGACGCCCAGAAGGCCACUGAGCUUAGUGAGGAGAUACAGCUUGAAGCUGUGGAUGAUGCCAAAUGUGAUAGCCUGGUCCAGGAAGGGCUUCUGGCCACACCCAAGAGACUCUUAGAUGAUGCUUUAUCUCCUUCUUCAAAGAAGCUCAAGAAGGACAGCCAGGAGAACUCAGAUGCUGAGCUCAGUAGCAGUGAAUACAUCAGAACAGAUUUAGACACCUUGGACACAAAGGGCCAGGAGUCAAGCAGCGAUCAGGAACAGGUGGAUGUGGAAUCGAUUGAUUUUAGCAAAGAGAACAAGAUGGAGAUGGGUAGUGUAGAGCAGGCCAAAAAUGUGCUUCAGUUCACCGAGGAGAAGGAGGCCUUCAUCUCUGAGGAGGAGAUUGCAAAGUACAUGAAGCGUGGGAAAGGGAAAUACUACUGCAAAAUCUGCUGCUGUCGGGCCAUGAAAAAAGGCGCUGUCUUGCACCACUUGGUUAAUAAGCACAAUGUCCACAGUCCAUAUAAGUGCACAAUUUGUGGAAAAGCGUUUCUUUUGGAGUCUCUUCUUAAAAACCACGUAGCAGCCCACGGACAGAGUUUACUUAAAUGUCCACGCUGUAAUUUUGAAUCAAAUUUCCCAAGAGGUUUUAAGAAACACUUAACUCACUGUCAGAGCCGGCAUAAUGAAGAAGUGAAUAAGAAGCUGAUGGAAGCUCUGGAGUCACCAUUGGAGGAGCCGCAGAUUUGAUUUUCAGACAGUGGCCCUUGCUCUACAGUGUUGCUUGCCAAACUCUUAGGUUGUUGAGUAGCCUAGAUGAACCAGUAGCCAGUGUGUGUGUAGUGAGUGUAUCCUGUUUCUGCAAGUAGUGUUACAAAGAGUAAGUACUUGGUUAUUUUUUCAUAUGAUCUCUUGUUUAUGUGGCUGACUAUUUUAUAAGUCAAUACAUUUCUGGUAUAGAUUCUAGAUAGAUAUAACUCAUUUUCCUUAAGUUAAUUUCUGUCACAAUAUAAGGAGUGGGGGAAAGUAGGCAGGCUAUUUAAUAAACAAGUAAGUUUAAACCUAAUCAGAGCCUUUGUCCUCUACCGUGUGUGUGUGUGUGUGUGUGUGUGUGUCUGUGUGUGUGUGUGUG